rnacentral:misc_RNA from 1 species
AAUUCGAUAAAAACACCGCCAUCAUGGUAACUUGUAAAUGUCUUUUCUUCCCCUCUCGCGUCGGUGCCCUCGGGUGCUGCGGGAGAGGGGGGGGAGGUUGCUCCUCGCAGCAACAAUCAACACCGCAAUAAAAAGUGUUUAAACGAUCUUAAAAGUCGCCAGCCGUCGACCCUGUCGCGGAGGGCGCAAACAACCAAGAA